rnacentral:lncRNA from 1 species
UUUUUUUUUUUUUUUUUUUUUGUCUUUUUGCCAUUUCUUGGGCCGCUCCUGAGGCAUAUGGAGAUUCCCAGGCUAGGGGUUGAAUCGGAGCUGUAGCCACCAGCCUAUGCCAGAGCCACAGCAACAUGGGAUCCAAGCCAUGUCUGCGACCUACACCACAGCUCAUGGCAACACCAGAUCUUUAACCCACUGAGCAAGGGCAGGGAUCGAACCCGCAACCUCAUGGUUCCUAGUCAGAUUCAUUAACCACUGCGCCACGACGGGAACUCCCCAUGUUAGGGAAGUUUUGACUAUCUCUUCAAAUAUUUUUUCUGUCCCUUUCUCUCCCUCUCUUCUCCUUCUGGCACCCAUAUAAUACGGAUGCUGGUGCAUUUAGCAUUGUCCCAGGGUUCUCUGAAACUAUCUUCAUUUCUUUUCAAUCUUAUUUCUUUUUUCUGUUCCACAUCGGUGAUAUCCACUAGUCUGUCCUCCACCUCGCUUAUUCAUUCUUCUGCCUCCUGUAUCCUGCUAUUGCUUGCUUUGAAUGAAUUUUUUGUUUCAGUUAUUGUAUGUUGCUUGCUUAAGUUUUAAAUCUUGUAUUUAUUUGCUCAAUGUUUGCUGUAAAUUAUCAAUCUUUGCCUCCAGUUUAUUUCUAAUAUCUUGCAUCAUCUUCAGCAUCAUCAAUCAAAAAUCUUUUUUUUCCUGAAGGCUGAUACUUUCCAGAUCCCUUAGCUGUUUUUCUGGUAUUUUUUCCUUGUUCCCUUAUGCGAAUUAUAGUUCUCUGCCUUUACAUUUUUAUAGGUUUUUGGUGUGGUCUCCUUUUUGAAGACAAUAGAGUUGUAGCCUCUCUUACUUCUUAAAAUGUAGUAUUUCAUACCAUGAGAUAUUACUUGGCUAUAAAAAUGUAUAAGUACCAAUACAUACUACCACAUGGAUGAACCUUGAAAACAUCAUGCUCAGUGAAAGAAACCAAAUACAAAAGACAUACUGUAUGGUUCCAUUUAUUCUAUUUUUUAAUUCCAUUUAUAUGAAAUGUCCAGAAUAGGCAAAUCCAUGGAGACAGAAAGUAGAUUAAUGGUUCCCAGGGACUGGGCAGAGAGAAUGAGAAGUAGUGCUCCUGGGUUCAGGGUUUCUUUUUGAGGUGGUAAAAGUGUUCUAAAAUUAGAUAGUGAUGAUAGUUGUACUAGUCUGGGCAUAUACUAAAAACUACCAAUUUGUACACUUGAAAAGGGUGAUUUUAUGGUAUAUAAAUUAUAUCUCAAUAAAACUGUCAGCAUUUCUCUCGCUCUCUCUCUCUCUGUAUGUGUAUGUAUGUAUGUGUGUGUGUGUAUAUAUAUAUGAUUUCAGAUUCUGGAGCCCAACGUGUUGAGUUUGUAUCCCAGCUCUGCCACAUACUGGCUUUAUGAUUUUGGCCGAGGUACUUAACUUCUCUGUGCUCAGUUUUCUCAUAAUAAGACUCCUUUUUUGGGAGGCAGAUUAAAUUAAUUAAAAUAUAUAAGUUGCUUAGAUCAUGCCUUACACAUACAACAUAUUGUGUACUAUUAUAGUAAGUAUUAUAAUUAUUAAAACUUGAGUUUCUUAUUUGGCAUGGGAGCAUUAUUUACACCAAGUCAUAGAUAAAUUUACAUAAAUAAUAGACAAACUUGUGUGUGUAGAAUUUGUUGCCCUUUCUUUACCCAUUUACUAUGGGCUUGGUUAGUCGUAGAUACUAAUUUGAAACACUCAGAAUAUCCCCAGGUCUCACCAGCUGGUGAUUAAACACACACACACACACACACACACACACACACACACACACACACACUGAUUUUGAACACAUAUCCUCAAGUAGAGAACUUCAAAGUGUCCCUCCUUUUGCUUCUGGAAGUACAAGCAAGUAGCCUGCAUGAGCCCACACUCUGUUAGUCAAUUGGCAUGGGUACCGGGAACCCACAUUUCCUUUGUCUUCUACCAUUGCUGGCACAGAGCUACCUGAGGGAGCCCCUGUCCCCCUAGGGCUAUGAGCAUCUUCAGUGCCAUUCCCACCCAGGCUUCUAUCUCCAGUGUGCUCAGAGUGGGCAGGAGACCCAUGCAGAAGAGUGAGUAAAGAUCUCCCCAGCCACACUGUCACCCAGCCACAAAAGAGCCGAGUCCAUGCCCAGAAUCUCACAUUUUCAGAAGACUUCUCUUGAUCUCCAAGCUCUCCUUCCUCUAACUACGAGGUGAAACCCAGUCCAUUAGCCCAUACUCAUAAUGGUUGUUCCUGCCAUUUUAUCCAACAUCUUCCUUUCUCUCCUGCCUCCUUCCCCCAUUAGGUGCCAAAAUUUUUUUUUAAAUAUUCCCCGUGCAAUUAAAGGAAGGAUCAAAAACAGAUACAAGUAGCAGGUGAAGAAUAGUCUUGUUUGCACUAGCAGCACCCAGGAUCUGGGAUUUAGUUUGGCCAACAAAGUGCUCCAUCCCAGUGUUGAUAAGGAACUGCCACCUGAACACUUUAUGAGGGCGAGAGGCAGUUAAGGCCCUGCUGAUUGAUUCAGUUAGUAGUUAUCGAUCAUUUACUAGGUGCCUGGCAUCAGGCUACUGCCAGGGGUACCAUGAUGCACAAGCACAGAAUCUAGCCAAAAUCACAAUUUGCAAUGAGGUGAAAUUUGGGUGAAUCUGCACAUUCUUUGUUUCCCAGUGAAACAUCAAGAAUGGGCUAUCACGUUUGGAUGAAUAAGGCACAUUCCCAGCCUGGACCCUCCAACUCCCUCCAUAGAGAAUAGAAAGAUAAACAUUCUUUUAUUUGCAGUUGACAUGGUUUUAUUUUCAUGAACGAGGAGGAGCAGCCUUAAUAGACAACAGGCACUGUUCUCCAAUUACUGCCAAAAAGAAGAGCUACAGAACAUCUUUUCUGAAACCACAUCUCUGAAUGCCUAACUCUGAGUUCACAGUCCCAUACAGCAGUUUCCUUUUGGUCUAGAGCAUAACUAUACCUAUUUGAAAACUUCUAAGCUAAAUUUCCAGAAUAACGCACUAGGAACAUUGUCCCCAUGUGCUCAUUUUAUAGUAUCCCUGUAGGGUAAAGAAAAAUCCUCCUAGGGCAGGCUGUGUAACUCAUCUAAAAAACAAAUUAAAAAAAAAAAAAUUGGGGGGAGACUUUCAGCAACAGUGGAACAAAAAUGGAGAAUGGUUAAUUAACUCUCCAUUAACCAGGCUAUUUUCUGCCUCUAAACAUUCUGAUUAGUCAGAGCUUUAUUACACUCUCAAGGAUUUAUAGUAACUCACUCAAAGCAUUGCCCAGCAAUUCCUUAGGGGGGCUACUUCAAUGUUUGAUGGUAUGUACUUCUACCUCCAGGUAUAUACCCAAAGAAUUGAACCUUGGUCUCCAUCAGAUACUGGUACAUUAAAAGAUGCUCAAGGAGUUUUCCUUGUGUCUCAGAGGUAGCAAGCCCAACUAGGAUCCAUGAGGACAUGGGUUUGAUCCCUGGCCUCGUUCAGUGGGUGAAGGAUCCAGUGUUGCUGUGAGCUGUGGUAUAGGUGGCACACGCAGCUCGGAUUUGAUGUGGCUACGGCUGUGGCUGUGGCUGUGGCCAGCAGCUACAGCUCCAAUUUGACCUAGCCUGGGAGCGUCCAUAUGCUGAGGGUGAAGCCCUCAAAAAAAGUUGCUCAACAUCCUUAGGAAAAUACAAAUCAAACCCACAAUGAGGUACCACUUUACACCCAUUAGGAUGACAAGUACAAAAAAAAUUGGAAAAUAACAAGUGUUGUGAGGAUGUGGAAAAAUCAGAAUCCUUGGGCAAAGUUGGUGGAAAUAUAAAAUAGUGCAACUUCUAUGAAAAACAAUGUUGUGUUUCCUCAAAAAACAUAGAACUAGAACUAUAUGUGAUCCAGCAAUUCUGCUUCUGAGUGUGUUCCCAAAAUAACUGAAAUAACUGGAAGAGGUGAUUAUAUACCCAUGCUCACAGCAGCAUUAUUACCAAAGACAAAAGGUAGAAGCAAUUUAAAUGUACAUGGAUGAAUGAGUGGAUAAAGAAAAGUGGAAUAUGACACAGUGGAAUAUUAUUCAGCCUUUAAAAAGGAAUCAAAUUCUGAUACAAUCUACAACAUGAGGAAACCUUGGAAAGAUUUCUGCUAAGUGAAAUAAGCCAGACACAAAAGAAAAAAUACUGCAUAAUUCUAUUUAUAGGAGAUACCUGGAGGAAUUAAAAUCAGACAGAAAGUAGAAUUGUGGUUCCCAGAGGCUGGACGGAGGUGAAAAAGUGAAGUUACUAUGGAGUUAUUGUGUAGGGGGUACAGAGUUUUGGCUGGGAAGAUGAGAAUUCAGGAACUGUUUAGUGGUGAUGUUCCACAAUAUGAAUGUUCCUAAUGUUAUUAAACUGUGCACCUAAAAAUGAUUUAAAUGAUUCAUUUUAUGCUAUUUAUAUUUUACUACAGUUUAAUUUUUUUAUGAGAAAAGAAUGGGUAUGCUUAGAAUGCCACUUGCACGUACAUCCCCAAGUGUUCACAGGCCAUUUGUUCUCUCCUGAUUCUGAAGACCCCCCUGGCCUGUUUAUCCCAUAGAAGAAUCAGCCUUGGCCUUGGACUCUAGUCCCACCAUCCAGUAAGGAGAGUCUGAUGAAAUGGCAUUGCUGUGUCCACAUGUGAUCUACGAAAAUAAUAUUUCAUCCUCACCAGCAGGACUGUUUGUGGCUGCACAUUAAAUAGGAAUAAUUUCCAAAGACUCCAGCUGGCCUUCCUCAAAAGGUAAAGAAAAUCCAACAUUUUUAAGGUCUCUCUAAUCUUUUGUUGUUUCAAGUGAAUGCUUCCUCUGAAGGACUAUUUCAGCAUUUCUGGGAUCUAUUAAGAAGAGCAUAAUGAAAGUUACAGAACCAGCCAACUUAGAGAGAGAGGGAGAGAGAGAGGGAAAAGAGAGGGAAAGGAAAGAUAAAGGAACCAUAGCUUCAUGCCAUAAGAAAUGCAAACUUGGACAGGCUCACAAACCCGCCUGCCUCUUUAGCUAAUGACAGCCUCAAUUAUGGGGCCUAAUCCUGCAUUCCUGACACUCCCCUUAUUCCUGCAUAACUUCCAGAGGAGUCAAAGGGCUCUCAGCCCUGGCCCUGGCAGGAGACAUUAGCUAUGCAGGAGCAGUGCCUGGGGCGCGCUGGCAAAUUUAAGGGUCUGUUCAUAUAAUGACACACACUUGGAAGCCUUAAAUCCUCAUGCUUUGACUCUUCACCUUAUACAGAAAUAAAAAGCCACAGUAACUCCAUUAAAAAAUAUAAAAUUGCUCCACAGGAAAUGAACACUAGUUUGCUUCCAAUUUACAUCGGUUUUGGGUUUCUUCUUCCCCACCCCCUUUUUACUUUUAAUGUCUGCGUCCAGUUUUAUGGAAAAUAUUUUCUUUAAGGGAAAGAAUCAACACUAGCCUCGUGCUGGGUCUUUGCAUUUUAUUUACUAAACUGAGCAAAACAGCUUUGAUUUGCCAGCUCUCGCCCUCCCUUAAAGCAGUGGGAAUUCCUGGUGAAGACACCUACAGGCUAUCCUCUUAUGUCACCCCAGGACACAUCUGAUGACCUCUGAGAAGUGCCCUUGUUUUCUAUAAACUAAUCAUCCAUCCAGCUAUAUUAAUGAAGAGACUCUAACUCAUUUUCAUCCUAGGCACACGCUGUACAUUAUCAGUCUCCUAAUUAAUCCCAGGCAAUUCAGGGGGCAGGGAUUAUUACUUCCAGUUUUCCUCACUGCUCCUCAUUCCAGAGACUUGGGCAAACAGAGGGUCACGCUCUGUGUCUCGCAGGCAGGGUCCCUGCGUCCCAGCCCAGAGCCCACCCCACCCCCAGACGCGAUCCCUGAGGCCUGGGGAAGCCUGGGAACUAGCACACCCAGGCUGAUCUCAGGCGGUGGGGCUGCCUCGGGGGAGAAAGAACCUGGGGUCAGCAAACAUCUGGCAAGCCUGCUGAAUAGACAACUGUCAGCAGCUUCUCCCCCAAGUCAGAAAGUAAACGCAGAACCUUGGUGCACUGAGCAGAGCUCUGGGCAGCCCAGCCUUUCACUGUUUGCCCCUGAGCCUUCUCCACAAUCACCUCCCUCCAGAGUGCACGUGCGGAUGGGGGUAGCACCAGGCAUGCCCCGCCCUCCACCACAGGCCAGGCUGCUAGCUGUGCAAGGUGGAGGCCUGGGGCUGAACGUUCAAACCUCCCCA